UUCAAGUCUGUCUGCCUCCAGGGACCUGCAGCCUCAAACUGGACAAGCCGUACGUCCUACAGACUCUGUUACAGAUGAUCAAUGCUGGUGUCCCUCCAAGGUGCACACAUUUCCUGGUCACCAGAAAGACACUUGGGCUUAAACAAGACAACGUCUGGCUGAGAUCAUCCCUGUUUCCUGCCAAAGUGGGCCACACAGAGCUGCAGCUGUACGAGAUGUCUGGAUUCUCCCAGUCAGCAAAGAGUUGGGGACAGGGUGGUCACAGAGGAGCCAAGCCGGGGCAGAAAGUUGUCUCCAUUCAGUGAAUGCUUAUUGAAUCCUUGCUCCAUACCAGACCUUGGAGGGAGGGAGAAAAAGGCUUGAAGUUGACAAUGUAGUUCCUUCAUGUCAAUUAAAUGUUUAUUUAAAAGA